GUUAGUAUGCGUAGUUCAGUGCUUUGUCGUCAUAACUACGAUCAAAGAUACCGUUGAUCGGUUUUCAGAAUCGGUAAUGAAAUUGUGAUUUAGUUGAAAGUGCAAACAUUACGUGCAUGUGUUAUAAUCAUUUCGCCUUUACACUUAAAAUGUUUUUCAUUCUGUUUUCCGACGACGACGAAAUACAGGAAAAAAGAGAUUUGCGUAACAAACGUAGAAUUUUACGGAAAAAAGCAGAUCCUUUUAAACUAUCAGACACAGCGUUUCUUCAAUGUUUCAGGGUUACGAAACCAAUUUUUUCGUUUAUUUUGGAAAAAAUUGAACCUCAAUUAGAAUGUAUUAAAAGUAAUGGAGUGAGUGCAAAAAUUAAA